CGGAGUCACUGAUCUAAUUAACGGUUCCACACAUGACUGAAUCAUGCUAAGGUUUAGGUCACCGCUCUCCCACCUGAUAAUCCUGUUUUUUAGUUGGUUAGAUGUUAUCUUCCUCGUCACCCGAUCUGUGUCGACAGGUUUUCCGUUUGGCAGAUGUAUAUUUGGAAAAUCUUUAUCACUGUAUGAACAGUUUGUUUUUCUUUUACUAUCUUUUUAAUCCAAGAAAUUAAAAACUACUCUCUGACUGAAAGUCGUCUUUAUGCCGAUUUCAUUUUCAGAGAAGCGUUGGUUUCUAACAACGAGCACCAAACCCCAGGCAGUUUUCACAUAUUGCCAAUUUCCAACCUUUAUCCCCAUUUUGGCUUUUACAAAGCCAAUAAAAGAUUAAAAUGGCAGUUUUCUGGCUUUAAACUGUUCCUAGGCAGAGUUUUCAAACACACGUGGAUGAUUUGUUGAGUUUACCGACUGAUUUCAAAACCAGCAGUGGAUUUUCUCCGUCCUUUCAUUUUUGGUUUGGCUGACUUUGAUGUCUGACUGGUUUAUAAGAUUUCACGGCGGCUCGUCUCCAUCUGGCAGACCAAUAUUCAGACUGACGUAGCUAAUUGUUAGAAUAAAACAGCUUCCUUUGUGCCUUGUUUACCAUCCCGGGGACCGGUUUGAGGCCUGACCGAAUCUUCAGAUGACCGACAACGCGCUGCUGGACUUACACACCUCCGGUGUGGAGCAGCGGACUCUCCCGCCCAUCGAAGGCAUUCUGGGGUCUGACUUCAGGCUGGGCUCCACUGAUGUCCCAAUUUUAGACUCGUUAUUAAAGAUGACCAGCCCCUCAGCUGUGCACCUGCCAAAAACUCAUCCAAUGCGCAGUGGUGCAGGGACUGACAACCAGCAGGUCCCGGGUUUGAGUCCUCCAGCCAGCUGUGGUCGAGCUCCAGCUGCCCUGAAUGGAUGGAUUUGUUUUAUUUUAAUCAGAUCUGACCUCACUUGCUUUUGAUUUGUCAUUAAUGUAAUAAAGCACCUCUGGAAUUUGUUGUCAAGGCGAUAUAGAUAAAUGCAUGAGAAUCAUUAUUCCACUGUUGUCACACGUGGAUGCAUGAAGCAGCGUUUUGUCACGUUUGAUGAAUAAUUUGAAGUUUGGUUGUAUUUGGAUUUCACUCCCAGGUUUCCGGAUCACCUGAUGGGAUUUUUAAACCUGCUUUUUAACCAACGGCUGAUUUCGAGUAAAAUCAAGACAUUUUUGCUCAUGUUUAUUGUGUUGAGCUCCAGUCUGAGGUUAUUUUGGGUUUCCCGAGUUUUCAGCUUUAGUGACUGAUGAUGUUUUUGAUUGCCGUGUUUAUUUUCCCAACUUUUCUCCUCUCUGGUAACCGGAGCUCAGGUUCGACCGGCUGUUUUUCCGCUCUGGUUUCAAUCUAACUCUGAGCCACCCGAAUCGGACAAAUCAGUCAUGAGCAUGUUGACGGUUUCUGGAGUUUCCUGUCUGUGACAGACUGUUUCUCGGUCUUACCGCCUGGUUCGUGUGUCUGUGAUUAAAGUUGAGGGAACUAUACGACGCUCGCUGUCGGACUGAUGACUGAUGCAAGCCGUGGGUAAGUGCGUGCACGCGUGUACGUACAGCUUUGCACCAUGAUGCAAUCAUCUGUGUGUGUGUCUAUAGAUCGUUUUCACGCAUACAUACAGCAGCGUGUGUGUGUCUGUGUGCAUGUGUGUGUGCGUGUGUGCAGUAUGAUGCAAUAAUCAUGCAGAGCAGCCAGCAGAAAUCAGCUACGUACUCCAAUAAACAGAUAUCCUGGCACGGGGGAUGUGUGUGUGUGGGAGAGGGAGUACUGUACUACUGCAAAUGUGUGUACUGUUGGUGCGUGAGCGAGUGUGUAAACAAGUGUGAAAGACAAAGACAGUGUGUGUGACUGAGUACUAUUACACAUGCAAAAAGGAAAGAUUUGUAGCAGGAGGCUUGUUAGAGCAGCAGGGGAGACGAAUGCAUGUAUUUGUAUGCGUGUGUGUGCACGUGUGUGCGUGCACGUGUGUGUGCACGUGAGUGUGUGUGUGUCGACCAGCUGGUGUUCCACAUGUGGACAUGUCCUACGGAGCCAGGGACUCCAGCAGAGAGACCAACUCCUACAGUGGAUCUAUGCCCAGUUAGCGUGUGUGUAUGUUGGUAAUGUGUACGUGUGUGUGAGAGUUUGUAAAGGGCCUGCCAGUUGGUGGGUGUGUUAUGAAUGUGUUAAGUAUGUAUGAGUCAGUGUCUUUGUAUAUGUGUUUUUUCAUCCACUCACUAUCAAUGCAGUGAAUCAGAGUUGGAGUAGAAUUAACUGUGGACACGAAUCAGCGUCGAUACCGUAAACUGAAGUUAUCAAUAACAUCCAUGUUCAGGAUAGUCUCAGGGUGAGGGGUCAGUUCUUCGCUCCAUCACAGCGCGAUUUAUUAUCAGCACAAAGAACGCAAACGGAGGCCUGCUGUCACAGCGAGGACCCCGUCAGCAGCAGCAGCCAGAGCCCGACUCCAGCAGCCCACACAGUCAGUAUCAGUGUAAUCACAAUAUAAUAUACAAUCAAUAAGAGAAGUAAAUAUGUGUGACUGUAUUAAUAUGGCCACAUAUAGAGUGAGUCACAGACACUGUGUGCAGGGUUAGUGCCAAUAUUAACGUCCACUGGAGACAGCACAUGGUGAACAUUUAAAUUUCAGUCAGUAACAUGAACGUGACUGUGAUGAGUGUGAAUGCUGCGUACACUCCUGUACUGCACUUGUAUCUGGUGCUGUAGUACUGCUGUACUUCAUGCAUGAACCGCAAGUAUUUGAGUAUUUGUUGUGUAGUAUCUGUUAUCACGGAGCUGUGGCGCCGACCAAUAUGCUGCUUAAUAUUGGCUGCUUGCAAGGUCGGAUAUUUACCGUGCGUGCGUGCGUGCGUGCCUCUAGAGGCAGUGCAGUGGAGGGAAGCUAAUCCAGUAAAGUAACAGAGAACUGACAGAGUCAGAGGUCAUUAUCAUUCACACACCGCCGACCAACACACACUCACACAAGCCGUGCACAAUGCUUAAUCUGCAACACAUCCCCCACACACACUCACACGCACACAUCAGAUUCUGUUACACUGACACAAACACACACACUUUUGUCUUGCUAUUCAUGUUGCCGUUUCUUUUCUUGUUGCUUCUUUCUUUCUCGUUUACACACAUGUGAGGCAUAAAAAAAAACACUUGUUCGCCAAUUCUACCCCCACCCCCGCCCAUCUCAAGCAAACCAAACCUACAACAACCCACCCACAAACUCACACACACACACACACACACACACACACACCAGAUGGGUCUUAAUCUCCUGUUGCCAUAAACAAACACAAACCAUUCGAAGAAGCAGACAGAGAGACCACUGUGUGUCGGUGUAACUUCUUGUUGUCUAACAUCCUGUUAAUUCCUGCAACGCCGUCAAACAAAAGUCCUCUGAGUCCCACACACACACACACACACGCACAAACACACACGCACAGGCGCUGGCCUUGGACAGAGACGAGCAGAAAACAAGCUAAUGCAGCACAGAUGUAGGGUUGAUCGGAGGCCUUUGCGUUCCACGCAGCGCUGUAUUUGUGCUGUAGUAAAUAUCAGAUAUCUGUCAGUGUGGUCAUUCUCCUCCAAACACAAAGCAGGCUGGAAAAACCUCACAGGUUCUUCAGUCGGGACCGAUUCGAGCUUUUGAGUCACACUUUCUGGAAACCACUUGUCGCCCUGGUAGCUGUUAGCUCAGUCCAACAGUUUGGUCUCAGCAACAGCAGCAAAAGGCUGAACUGCCUCUAAAACCCAGAGACCUGACGCUUCAGCUCUCGCCAACGUAGCAUCUGCUCGGUUAGCGUUUGUAACUCAGCGGCUUCUUCAGCUGCUGUUUCUGAAACAUCCUCCCAGAGACAACAGCCAAGGUCAUCGGGCUUUUAUGUUCAUGCACGGCUCCAAGAUAACAAACACUUCCUGCCAGCAGUGAAGAUUCAAAGUCACACUUGAAUAACCUUUGUCCAACGUUUAACAAGUAUCAAAUGUAAACGGUCUGAAAUGGUCUUUUGUUCUUUUAAAUAAGUGAACAAAAACAGAUCGGCUUCAUCGAGCAACCACCUCCCCUGUGAUGUGGCAUCCACCUUUGAGGCGAUGGUUCUUCCUCCGUGGGUUUUAGCGGUCCAGGUUGGGGAGGACAUCUUCUCCUUCACGCUCAGUUCUCUCUUCACUGAGCGUGAAGGAGAAGCUGUUGAUCUGGUGGUUGAUUUAUGUUCCUGGCAUCAUCUAUGGCGAUGAGCUGUGGGCAGCCACCAGAAGAAUAAGGUCAGGGAUAAAAAUAACAGUAAUGAGCUUCCUCCAAAGGUCAUGAUCCCUCGCCGUACGUUGCUUUCUAGCUGACAACUGUGUAGUUUAACUCAGUGAUGCUUUUACCGCCUGCUCAUAUGGUCUGUCAGGGGGAUGUCCCAGAGGUUUUCACAUUGACCACUCGCCUCAGAGUUUACUCAUAUUGAAUUUGGGACCGCCCACUUUGCAUCACUAAUGGUUAUUUCUUCUGUUGUUGCUAACUGGUUGAAUUUCAUUGAUAUUUAACAGUCUUGAGCCAACAGGUCCAUGCUGGUCGCGUCUUCUUUUUUGAAACACAAACUCGGUAAACCUGCUGGUCAGCCACAUUGAAAGGAGGCACUCUGGGCAUGUCCAACAGGAGGACACCCUGAGGUACCCAUGCUGGAGAGGUGGCUUGGGAACGCCUUGGUCCCCCUGGAAGAGCUUAAAGAGGUGCAGAGACAGAGGGAGGUCUGCUGCCAUUGCAACCCUGACCGGGUUAAUGAGUUGAGAAAGGAGGGAGUCUGAUCAGUUUGGAGGUUUCUGAGCGUACAGUCUGGUACCAUACAAAAUUUCAGGUUGGCUGCUAAGAAAACCCCGAAACUGAGGGGCAGCCAAUCAGAAGAAAGCUAAAGCUAAAGUAGAGGCUGCCGCGACCUACCUGGACCAGCGUUACCAAAGGUUACCAAACAGGUUGAGUGCACCCGCCGACCCAGGAGCAGCCUCUUUAUGAAAGACACGCACCCUGCUCGGCUGCGAGUCUUCACGCACAAGAAUGAUUAGGAAAGAAUCAAGAUGUUGUUACAGAGAAAAACAAGCUCUGGCUUCUCAGAGAAGAUUAACAAGUGUAAUGCUGCACAGAUGUAGGCUCGGUACAACUCCCACUCUCCGCUCUGCUGAGGAAGCUGCUCAGCAAAUGUAGCAGCAUGUACGUAACAUACAUACAAACACCGACCUGCGAACCCAUUUGCACAACCAGCACGCUGCAGCACCGCACAUUAGCACAUGUCACCAAAUCUGCUCGCCUCCACUUCUGCUUCUGCUACUGAUUUACUACAUUUCCCAGAAACCUUUCAUCAAACACAGAGCUGACGUGCAUGAACUCCAGCUGAGGGUAAAAUGAAAACUCAGUAACCUCACGCUCAAGCCUGGAGAGCCGGCAUCAUUCAAACAUUCAAGACUUCAAAUGGGUACUACAAUACCCAUAAUAAAAUAAUGAUGGAUUGCAUUUAUAUAGCGCUUUUUGAGACCCUCAAAGCGCUUUACA